AAACUUUCCUCUUGCUCUCUAGCACUCACUGCUCUCUGCAGCCAUGUAGUGCUUUGCAUGGUAUGGGACUCUGGCCUGGCUCUUGUUCCUGGCAGGAAUAAAUAUGUCCAAAACUUUGCAGGUUUGGCUCUCCAGCAGUUCUGAUUCACGCUGUGCAUCUCCAUCGUGUCAACAGGCAAUACACAGCCAGCACUCUGCCCAGACAGUUGGCCUCAUCUACGCUUCCUAAGAGAUGGUGCUGAGGAGCAGUGAUUUCAUUCAACAUUUCAUUUAGCGACUGCUAGUCAGAGUUAAUGCUCCUGGACCUAACAUAUCCCCAAACCUCCAGUUUUCUGGCACAUUCUGCUGAAAGCAUUUUCAACCACCUUCACUGGAGGGGAAAAAAAAAAAAAAAAGAGAGAAAAGAAAGGGAAAAUCCAUGAAAAUGAAGAGAGUCCUCACAGCUAUUUCUAUCACACAAUGAAUAUUGAUUCCUCUCUGAUUUUCAUAGAAAUUUGUCAGAGUCCUGUCAGUGCAAGAUUGAUUUCUCUGCUUCCAGGAACGAGGCUCUGCGAUGCCGUCAGCCAGCUCUGUUCAAUUUGCAGCUGUGGGCGCACGCUGCAGCGCAGUGAGCGACGUAUUAGUAAUUCAUCUGAUGAUAAUGGGACUUGCAGCAAUAACACCCGUGCUAUGGCUAACAGGAACUUCCAAAGUCCUCGAUAAAACCCUUCUCCGUUCUGAGAAGCACAAGUUU
rnacentral:lncRNA from 1 species